rnacentral:rRNA from 1 species
UACGUAGGGGGCUAGCGUUGUUCGGAAUUACUAGGCGUAAAGCGCACGUAGGCGGAUCGAUCAGUCAGGGGUGAAAUCCCAGGGCUCAACCCUGGAACUGCCUUUGAUACUGUCGAUCUGGAGUAUGGAAGAGGUGAGUGGAAUUCCGAGUGUAGAGGUGAAAUUCGUAGAUAUUCGGAGGAACACCAGUGGCGAAGGCGGCUCACUGGUCCAUUACUGACGCUGAGGUGCGAAAGCGUGGGGAGCAAACAGG